AUGCCCGCUCGUCAGCUACGUGAUAAAAAUGGCUGCGCCCAUGUGUGUUUCGGAAUGAAUUAUCUAUUUUUUUUACAUGGUACUGCACCGAACUGAGAGAAUGAAGAUGCAUUUUGGGGAGAGCUGGAUGUGGGCUUUCAGAAUAUCCCAACCGUUUCGACUAUUUUGGAUAUCGGCAUAGCUGACCUUUAAGCAUUUCUGAUGGCGGUAGUGUGAUCCGCUUCUCCCAAAAUCUGAUUGCCACUUGGAAAUUAUUUCAUAGACGUUUGUGUGCCGUGUGUUACGACGAUUACGUGACUCGAAAUGCAGGCUUCGCCUGCACAUCAUGCUUGUAAAAUCCUUCAACUGCAUCGCGGCAUUUGAUAAUAGAUUCGCUUUUGCGCGAAGGCUUCGUAUUAUCUCGCAGGCACUGAACUCACAGGCGUUCUUGUCGUCCGUGUUCCGUGGUCUUCCAGGGUCUCUGCUGUUCGCAAUUAAUUACAUACAUCUAUUGGCACCCGUCUUCAACAAAUCAGGGCAGGUAUCAUUAGAGCUCGUUGUUUGCUAGAAGCGUGCUAUGUGGUGAAGUUCAUUUUUAACAUUUCUAUUUUAUGUGUGUGUGUUGGAUGCAUAAAACAAGGCUAGGUUUGUAGUGUCUCUUAGAAUGAAAACUGUAUAGUGUUCGAUUAGAUUAUGUCACGAGGAUGAUUUUAUGACAGAUAAUAUGAUAGAUUAUUCUUCUCUGUUCUUUUGAUGAAGAAUAUCUUCUUUGAUUAAAUGUUGUGUUAUAGAUUUUAUUUCCUCUUCCGUUCGUGUCAUUCGUGUCCUGUAGAUGACAGAUAGAUAUCCCAUGGUCUUCCAGGGUCUCUGCUGUUCAAAGUUAAUUACAUACAACUCUCAGAACUUCCCGCUAUUGCAAUGGUGGUGCUCAUGCAUAGGAAUAUUAGACUUUUUAUAAUACAACUUGUAAUUUGUUUGUAAUCAUAUUGAUUAAGAAUGUCUUCUUUGAAUAAAUGUGGUGACCGUUUCUCGUUUCGAUAUGGUAUUGUGUAGCUAUUAUUUCCCUACAUGUUGGAGGAUAUGUCGGUUUGGUUCUAUAUUAAUGCUAUGUGUUGAUCGUGUUGAUUCGAGUAAUUUCCUAAUGUCUGCGCUAUUCACUUCACAAGGAACUGACUAAUUAAAUUUGUAUCAUGUUGGAAUAUUAAAGUUAGCUUCCGUAUUGUGCUCGAAAUUACUUAUAUGUAUCAGAACUUGUAAUUAAGGCUGUAAUUCAAAAUAUUGUGUUUGAUCUGUGAUACCUAUUGAAUGCUAUGUAUCGUACAUGUAAUUAGUAUAUUCUCAGUUAUGUGUAUUGUAUUGAGUUUCUUCUGCUUCAGGUUUUUUUGGCCGGGAUUUUUCUCCUCCAUACAGAGUCACAGCAUAAUUCCUGACGUGCGAGCGAAGUCGGCCCAGACGCUGUUGGGGUUCGAACCAGGCACCUAGGGUCCGUACUAGCCCCUAUGUAUACUAAUGACUUAUAUUAAGUAGUGGACUUAUUAUAUAGAGAGCUUGUGUUUUGUAAGUAACUUAGUACAUUACGGUUCAUGUUCAUUCAUAGUGAUUACGAAUAUUCAGAUUAUAACAGCAUCUGGAAAAUCUUUAAUACACUUUAUAAUCCAGAUUUAAAUGGUACAAUUUCAUAAAGCUGGUGCUAUUAAACAUCGUUGUAACUUGAGUUGUCAAGUAUGUAAUGACAAAACUUGAUUGCCACAUUAGCAGUAGUCAUAUUAUAGUUCAUGUUCUAGCAUGACGAGAAACAACACGAGCACGUUUUUUAAAACUUUUGUGAGCGACUUUGCCAAUAUCCCUUUUGCAUGCGUUUGCAUUGUAAGAGAUGGGGCUCUUGAAUGUGAAUACAGCGAGAAAUUGUGGUGUAUACCUUCACAGGUGCAACAAGUUGCAAGGAACAGGAACAGAUACACAUGCAGACAGACGACUGUGCAUAGAGUCACGAAUAAUGGAUUUUUCUCUGUGGAUGUCCUGCUUUGGACGGCAUGCUAUUACACCACCAAAGUCAAUUGGAACUCUAUGAAACUGAAAUGGAGGUGGCGGUGAGAGCGUCUGGACACCAGCAUAGAAUACAUUUGCACCAUUUUUAGAAUACAUCCACCAUAGAAUACAUUUACACCAUACACCAUAGAAUACACAGUAAGGGAUUGAUUUAAGUGUCCAUCCCUGACUGUGUAUUCUAUGGACCUCACGUAAGGUGUACUCACUUCUGUUCAGUGCUGUAUAAGGUAUCGCUUUGGUGUUCUGCCGUUCACAGACUCAGAAGGGUACCCUAGAACUAGUAGAAAUUUGUUUUUUUUUCUCUUUUUUCACAAACAGUGACCUCCGUUGAGAGGCAAUGGUCGAACAGGAGCACAGCUGUAACCACAUAAUGUUGUCAUGGUGUGCACAUUAACUGGUUUUAGGGGUUCUCGUUUUCUUAGUAACAAGACUAUAUUGUUUAUGACAAUGUUUCCGAGAAUUGUAAAGUGUGGUAAAGGUACUACUACUGAGGUAAAGGUGGUAAAACUGACUGCAGAGGCCAGGUGGUGCUGAAAACAAAUAGAGGAAGCGAACGGACAUGUGUUAAGAUCAGAUCAACUCAGUGUAAAAAUUUCAACAAGGUCAGCAAUCACAUUGGGCUCUCAAUUCCACAGCCAUAGAGUCACCAUAUGAUGUUCAAAUCUAAUUCUGUUCUAAAUCUAGUUCUGAUGCGUCCUUUAAUCAACCCAUUCCGUCAGCAUGUCGUAACUGUUCUUCAAACUCUGUCUGAUAGCACCCAAACAGUAUUGUUGAAUGAUCGUUAUCUGCAGCUAAAUCAGGCUGUUUUGCAGGUUACCCUGUGUGUGACCUCCAGACCCCGCUCACAGUCCUCCAGAAGUGCUCACUAGGUCAAACUUCUAGCCCUCUCCAGAGCCAGCAAUGUAUGAGUUUUGGCCGUCCAUUUUCAAAUUGUAUGAGUUUUGGCCAUCCCGCACAUUCUAGUGCAUCUUCCAGCACACUACGUAGAAGUGCCUUUGAAAACGAGGUGAUCAGGGUGCUGCAUCCGAUCCGCCUUACUCAAGAGGAUCAUUCAGCUCAGAUGAAUACUCUGACGCCUCCUGC